GUCAUUUUUUAGGGCGGUAUUUCAUGUACUUUCCCCACUGCUGUAUUGAAAAUCGUGUCUGCUGAAGACAAAACAGCGACACUGACGAGCCUAGAACUGUUGUGGAUAAUAGAUUCAGAAUUUUUUGGACCAUGUACCAUCCACUAACAUGAAGGAGCCAAGGUUUAUGACCCAUACUGCAGCCAGCCUCCAGGGGUAAGUAAAAGGAUGGAGAGUAAUACAAGACACUGUUCACCUGGAGCCCCUGAAUCACUAAAUCUGGCCCUAAAAAUGGUCCCAAGCUGCAGCUACUACCAGUCAGAAACACAGAGAAAACAGGCCAAUUCCAGUAAUCCAGAUGUUGGCUUCCCAUGCAGUUAUGCAAGCAUUUAAUUCCAGGUUUCAAGAGACUUUUCCAUGCAAAGGU